GAACUCCAAAAAUGAUGUAUAGUUCCAAAAAUUGAGUUUUCAAUAUACUGUCUGCAUUUUGUGCCCCAGCUUUAAACAUCUUGAAGCUGCAGCUCUGAUGUUGAGCUGCAUAUUUUACAAAUCAUUUUUCUGUUCUACAUCAUGAAUAACAGAAAGCUCCUUGAAAACAUGUUCUUGUGAGGUUCACAGCCACUCCCAUUCCCGGAACAUACUGCAGCGAAUUCGCAGACAGAACUUGCCUUCUGCAGACUUGCCUUCCUUAAAGAAACAGAAACAAAUUUUCUUAACAGUGAUUAUGCAAGGGCUGCAAGUAGAAGUGUUACUAAUGGUGGUGAAGUUUAGAGCAGUAACAGAAUUAUGGGAAUAAUAAAACGAGCUACUUCUUCCACUUAUCUAAUGAAUCACAACCUGAAUUUCUAAUACAAGAAGUGGGUUAUUUUCAAAGAGUACCAACAGAUACGCAGCUAAAGGGAACCAAGCAAAUCAGAAGAGUAUGUUUAUACUUCACUUCCAUUACCAGAUAGAUGCAUGGAGAAGCCAUUGAGAGGAAGCCAGGAUAUUGAGAAAGAGAUGGGAGUUAGACACAGAAACUGAACAAUUGAACCAAGAAAAUCAAAGCAAUAUAUUGGAAAGGAUCAGGCUAGAUUGAGCAGGCCAAGUAGGAAUCCAUCUAGUGGACUAUUUCAUUUACAAGGUUGUUUUCUUUUGCCACACAUUCUGAUGAACUUGUUUUUCAGUAUGCUUAGCUAAUUUCUUUUGUUUCAAAGACUUCUGUUUAAAUACUUGAAAUCAUGAAAGAAUUUCUUCUGUUAAUUAACAUUUGUCCAUAAAUAAUUUGAGGACUUGAAAA
rnacentral:misc_RNA from 1 species